GACCGUGGGAGCAGCAGAACCGCAACCACGCGAGGAUCGACGAAAGCGGACUUACAGACAUCCUGACAGGCCUAGGGACGCGCGCUGCGCAGCCCAGCGCCAUCCUGGAGCCGGACGGCUCUCACGAGGAGCCCUCCUACGGAAUCGGCACGACCGAACCACCGCAUACCCCUACGACUACAUCUCCCGUCGGGCACUUCGCCAAGGCACCGCCAGCGCCGACAGCCAAUCCCAGCUCGAACCCAGAAUGCGUCGCGGCUCCGCGCACUGCCAUUGGCUGAAUUUGAAAACAACGCGCGAACGUUAGCGGGCGUGCUCUUUGGACGGCGGUGGCGCUGCGCGCAGAAUGGAAACAAAUUCAGAAGAAGAUAACAUUUUGAGGCCAUCCUAUGUAGCUGGCAUAGAGCUUCCAGAAAGAACAGGACUGGUAAAUGUGGAAGACAUAAAAACAAAUCUCUCUGAUGAGUUUAGUUCAGUUUCUUCAAGCUCAGACAUGAGCCGGAGGUCUAGUUUGGAGCCUAGGGGACACAUACAAGUUUGCCUGCGCAUUAAGCCCUUCACAGCACUGGAAAGAGCAAAUGGAUCACAG